UACGUAGGUGACAAGCGUUGUCCGGAAUUAUUGGGCGUAAAGAGCUUGUAGGCGGUUUGUCGCGUCUGCUGUGAAAUUUCGGGGCUCAACCCCGAACUUGCAGUGGGUACGGGCAGACUAGAGUGUGGUAGGGGAGACUGGAAUUCCUGGUGUAGCGGUGAAAUGCGCAGAUAUCAGGAGGAACACCGAUGGCGAAGGCAGGUCUCUGGGCCAUAACUGACGCUGAGAAGCGAAAGCAUGGGGAGCGAACAGG
rnacentral:rRNA from 1 species